AGAACGAACGCUGGCGGCAUGCCUAACACAUGCAAGUCGAACGCUUUUGGGGCUUCGGUCCCAAAGGAGUGGCGCACGGGUGAGUAGCGCGUGGGAACCUGCCCUGUUGUGGGGGAUAACCGAGGGAAACUUCGGCUAAUACCGCAUACGCCCGGGGGAAACUCCGGGGAAAGAUUUAUCGCAGCAGGAGGGGCCCGCGUCGGAUUAGGUAGUUGGUGGGGUAACGGCCCACCAAGCCUGUGAUCCGUAGCUGGUCUGAGAGGAUGAUCAGCCACACUGGGACUGAGACACGGCCCAGACUCCUACGGGAGGCAGCAGUGGGGAAUAUUGGACAAUGGGCGCAAGCCUGAUCCAGCAAUGCCGCGUGAGUGAUGAAGGCCUUGGGUUGUAAGCUCUUUCGCACGCGACGAUGAUGACGGUAGCGUGAGAAGAAGCCCCGGCUAACGUCGCGCCAGCAGCCGC
rnacentral:rRNA from 1 species